rnacentral:piRNA from 1 species
UUAUUAACUUGGGUCUUCUCUUCUU